rnacentral:tRNA from 1 species
UGCAUCGGCCGGGAAUCGAACCUGGGCCGCCCGCGUGGCAGGCGAGUAUUUUUCCACUGAAAUACCGAUGC